UACGUAGGGGGCAAGCGUUGUCCGGAUUUAUUGGGCGUAAAGGGCUUGUAGGUGGCCACGCCAAGUCGGAUGUGAAAUCUCCCGGCUCAACUGGGGAGGGUCAUUCGAUACUGUUCGACUCGAAGGCAGGAGAGGGAAGUGGAAUUCCCGGUGUAGUUGUGAAAUGCGUAGAUAUCGGGAGGAACACCAGUGGCGAAGGCGACUUCCUGGCCUGUUCUUGACGCUGAGGCGCGAAAGCUAGGGGAGCAAACGGG
rnacentral:rRNA from 1 species